rnacentral:rRNA from 1 species
ACUCAAAUGAAUAGACGGGGGCCCGCACAAGCGGAGGAACAUGUGGUUUAAUUCGAUGAUACGCGAGGAACCUUACCCGGGCUUGAAAUGUACCUGACGAGGCUCAGAGACGAGCCUUUCCUUCGGGCAGGUAUGUAGGUGCUGCAUGGUUGUCGUCAGCUCGUGCCGUGAGGUGUCGGCUUAAGUGCCAUAACGAGCGCAACCCCUUCCGCUGGUUACCAUCGGGUGAUGCCGGGGACUCCAGCGGCACUGCCGCCGCAAGGCGCGAGGAAGGCGGGGAUGACGUCAAAUCAGCACGGCCCUUACGUCCGGGGCCACACACGUGUUACAAUGGGGGGCACAGCAGGCAGGACGCGGGCGACCGCGUUCGAAUCAUGAAAUCCCCUCCCAGUUCGGACUGGAGUCUGCAACCCGACUCCACGAAGCUGGAUUCGCUAGUAAUCGCGCAUCAGCCAUGGCGCGGUGAAUACGUUCCCGGGCCUUGUACACACCGCCCGU